AGAAGAAUGAGAAUGAUGAUAAUCCUUCUGUGAACCAGCAUCAGAUCCCCCCUGGCUCCUAUUUCAGUUAGUAGAACUUUGAUACCAUGCAUGUUGGAUUCAUGGUGUGAAUGUGACUCCCAAAGUUCCUUAAACAGAAUUCCUGAGAGCACAUGAUGUUCCAGUCGUUGUGCAGGGAUAAGAAUAUAGCAGUGAAGGAAUAUAAAGAGCCUCAUUCUCUUCUAGCCCCCCUGCUUCAGAAAAUGUUACCUUCAUGUUUAUAAAAGGAUUGUGCUGAUAUGUUGUUACUUUGAUGCCUAUUGUGAGACAUGCAUUAGACUGAAAAUCAGCAAACAUGAGGACUGGUCCUAACACUGACUCAUCCAGGUUGGAUAUCAUGUCUUUGGAGAAGUCUUCUCUGCACCCCUCUCCCAAUAAAGCUAAACAUUCUUCCACCAUGUGCUGUCCU